rnacentral:ncRNA from 1 species
GGCCCAGGGCCCGGGCCGGGAUUGGGCCCAUGAUCUGGUACACAUGUACAAAGUAUAGCCCGGUGAAAAUUAGGGAAAAUUAAGAGACAAAAUAAAUGAGAUGGCCCAAUUGUCUUGGCAUACUGACGGAGCAAUACCACGUGGAGAUGGAAGGCCUACGGAUUGUCAACUUCUUUUCUCGGAGAAGAAACAAUAACGGUAUUUGAGGAAUAAGCAUCGGCUAACUAUGUGUCAGCAGCCGCGGUAGGACAGAGGAUGCAAGCGUUAUUCGAAAUGAUUGAGCCUAAAGCU